UACGGGGGGGAGCAAGCGUUUGUUCGGAUUUACUGGGCGUAAAGGGCGCGUAGGCGGCCACCGCAAGUCGACUGUGAAAUCUCCGGGCUUAACCCGGAAAGGUCAGCCGAUACUGCGGGGCUAGAGUGCAGAAGGGGCAACUGGAAUUCUCGGUGUAGCGGUGAAAUGCGUAGAUAUCGAGAGGAACACCUGCGGCGAAGGCGGGUUGCUGGGCUGACACUGGCGCUGAAGCGCGAAAGCUAGGGGAGCAAACGGG
rnacentral:rRNA from 1 species